AAUUUAAGAAUAAUAAUUCGUUUCAAAAAAGAGAAGUCAUAGAUCAUAUCAAUGUUAAAGAGAGCGCUAGGCGAUAAGCGGCAAUGACCCAAUGCCUAGCGCCUAAAACGCUUAAUCGGGGCCUAAGCGAUUUUAGGCGGUUAGUGCGUUUAUAAUAUAAAUACUAUAAAU
rnacentral:sRNA from 1 species